rnacentral:tRNA from 1 species
GCCGGGGUGGCGGAAUUGGCAUACGCGACAGCUUGAGGGGCUGUGAUCCUUAUGGAUCGUGGAGGUUCGAGUCCUCUCCUCGGCA